UGGGGAAUAUUGGACAAUGGGCGCAAGCCUGAUCCAGCCAUGCCGCGUGAGUGAUGAAGGCCCUAGGGUUGUAAAGCUCUUUUGUGCGGGAAGAUAAUGACUGUACCGCAAGAAUAAGCCCCGGCUAACUUCGUGCCAGCAGCCGCGGUAAUACGAAGGGGGCUAGCGUUGCUCGGAAUCACUGGGCGUAAAGCGCACGUAGGCGGACUCUUAAGUCGGUGGUGAAAUCCUGGAGCUCAACUCCAGAACUGCCUUCGAUACUGGGAGUCUCGAGUUCGGGAGAGGUGAGUGGAACUGCGAGUGUAGAGGUGAAAUUCGUAGAUAUUCGCAAGAACACCAGUGGCGAAGGCGGCUCACUGGCCCGAUACUGACGCUGAGGUGCGAAAGCGUGGGGAGCAAAACAGGAUUAGAUACCCUGGUAGUCCACGCCGUAAACGUGAAUGCUAGCCGUUGGUGGGUUUACCUUCAGUGGCGCAGCUAACGCUUUAAGCAUUCCGCCUGGGGAGUACGGUCGCAAGAUUAAAACUCAAAUGAAUUGACGGGGUCAUAGCUG
rnacentral:rRNA from 1 species